rnacentral:rRNA from 1 species
AUUGAACGCUGGCGGCAGGCCUAACACAUGCAAGUCGCACGAGUGGCGGACGGGUGAGUAAUGUCUGGGAAACUGCCCGAUGGAGGGGGAUAACUACUGGAAACGGUAGCUAAUACCGCAUCCCAUCGGAUGUGCCCAGAUGGGAUUAGCUAGUAGGUGGGGUAACGGCUCACCUAGGCGAUGAUCCCUAGCUGGUCUGAGAGUAUGACCAGCCACAAUGGAUCUGAGCCACGGUCCCGACUCCGACGUGAUGCAUCAGUGGGGAAUAUUGCACAAUGGGCGCAAGCCUGAUGCAGCCAUGCCCCGUGUAUGAAGAAGGCCUUCGGGUUGGAAAGUACUUUCAGCGGGGAGGCGUUACCCGCAGAAGAAGCACCGGCUAACUCCGUGCCAGCGGCCGCGGUAAUAC